rnacentral:tRNA from 1 species
GGAGUGGCGAAAUCGGUAGACGCAGUUGAUUCAAAAUCAACCGUAGAAAUACGUGCCGGUUCGAGUCCGGGCCUUUCUU